CAUUUGCUCUAGUAGAACAGCAUCAAAACCUGUUUCACACUCUGUUACCACCUUCCCCAUCCUUUGACAUGUAGACUGAGAAUGGAGGUUGAGAGAAAGCACAGCCAGGACAGUUGACCCAAGCUGACCAAAGGGGUAUUCCAUACAACAUAAUGUCAUGCUCAACAGUAAAGCUGGAGGGGUGGUUUGCCAGAGGUUGCCCUUGCUUGGUGACUGGAUGGGUACUGGCCAUCUGGUGGUGAGUGACUGCUUUUGCAUCACUUCUUUUUGCUUUGUUUUGUAUUUUCUUCUAUCUAUUAAGUUGACCUUAUCUCAGUGCAUGAGUUUUCUCACUUUUAUCCUUCCAGUUCUCCCCCUCAUCCCAGUGAGCUACUGAGAGGGGAUUGGCUUACUGCUGGGAUUAACUCACAACAGCUCACUGAUGAGUUUUUUUUUCAAAUACAGUUCUCCCUACAAAUGUCUUUGAAUACGGUACUCAGAGAUAAGGCUUUGUCAAGGCUCCAUGACAGACAGCGGCUGCCUGAAGUGCAUGUGAAAAAUGUUCAAGAGAUUUAAGUCAUCUAAAACUCUGUUCAAAUAUGUAGAUUUGCACCCUCCAGAACAUGACCUAAAAUGGAACCGUGUGAUGGAGGAAAAGGUGAGACACAUAUUCUUUUUCCUGUAGGCAUGUCAAAACAAACCAAAUGAAAAUAACGUGGGAUUUCUCUCAGGAGUUCCAGUAUAACCUGUAAACUUCUGAAUGAAGACUUCAAAAUUGGAGUUUUCAUGAGUGAAGACCCGAUGACAUACAGUGAUUUAAGACUUGGGAUUUGGAGUGAGCUCAUGAAUAUCAUAAAGGUUUCUCCUUAGCUUCGUUAGGAGUAGGAAUGCUGCAGAGAAACUGCUUCAGUGUUUCAGAAUCCUUACAGGAAUAUGUCAGCACUAAAUCAUCUAUUGUUCUCCUCAUCCAGCCUGGAGAAUUAAGAAGCACUGAGGAAGAAAGGAAAACUGACUAAAAUAUGUUUGUGCACAAAUUGAUACAGAGAACAAUCAUACAAGUCUAAUUUCCCUAAGAAACUAGACAAAAGUGCUGUAUUUAUACUUGGUAUAAUUUUCUAGCUGACAGUGCACUUCUGACUACCUGUAGUAAGGAUAAAAUUAAUACUAUUCUAAUUUACUAAGUGUGUCCCUAUCUUCCCUUCCCCGAAGUCUUCCUUUCUUAUUUAAUAAUAAUAAAUACAUAAAUAAACAAAUAAAUAAAAAUCCACUUAUAAACAUGGCACUGCUUAGAAAAAAAAAAGUUUUUUCCCCUUUAAUUUUCCCCAAAUUUCUUACUCAAGCAAAUUUUCAUCGGCUGGGGGGAAAUUGUCCAAACAUAGGCCACACCAAAAAAUUGAUAUUUCCCCUUUGAGCAAGAAAGCGCCCUGAACAUGUAAAAUCUAACUGGAUUGUCUUUGUUGUAUAACAUUUGAAUAAAGUGGACAAAAUUCUCAAAGCGUGGAAAUCUAGCAACCACAGAUCCACUUGUCUUUGAUGGAUGCAUCUGCAUGACAGCACUUCUGGUCCUCCCGCGUCAAUCCCCUGAGAUAUUGCAUUUCUAUGCUCUAACUCUUGUUUUUUAAAAACCUUUUGAGCUUGGAUAGAUAUCCCUAGUUCUGUUCUCCCACUAUGGCCUACAAGAACAGGUAGCUGAAAUGCUAUUCCUGUAUUUAACAGGAAGUAUCUGUUACUGGAAGCUUGAUUAUUUCUGUGUUGCUGUUUAAGAGAGAAAAGUGAGUGGAGAUUCAGUGACCUUAUAUGAUCUGGACUUUUGUUCCUUAAAAGACAAAAUAUCACAGAAUUGUAGUUCUGGCUACUGAAAGGGGAAAAUGUAGAAUAGCAAUGUCUGCUUUUCUUCCCCUGAAAUUCUUGACUUAGCCUUACUGUGUUUCUGGUUAAGGAGCAAAGUAGCUAAGCAGUCCUGAGCUUAUUAGUUAGUGGUUUGAAAGUUUGACAGAAGAGCUUGCUGUCUAUUUCUUAAUCCUUAUUUUCAAAAGGUUUUUAUGCAGAUGUUGUGAACUACACACCCAAAGCAAUUGGGGAGAGAAGAGCAUGGCUCUUACCAGGACUCUAAAUUUGGACACAAAUUUCGUUUUAAACAAUAUUUUGUAUUAGCAAAGGAAAAAUAGUGUUUCUGGUCUGAAAUUUUAUAUGGCAACUUUCACCUCAAGAUAAUGAAAACAAGCUGAGCUAUAAACUCUUCAAAACUGGGGUUUAUGGAAAGGCUGACAAAUCCUUUACUGGAGCAAUGUGGCUGGGAGCACUUUAAAAGAUUCUCAGGGAGCAUUAUUGAUCAUGAUCAUGCACUUCCAAGGACUGGAGCUGGGAAGCUACAGGCAGAAGACCUGCUGUUUCCAAUUAGCGAGCUGGCCCAGAGGCAUGUCCAGCAGAUGAUGCCUCAUUAGCGGCCAGCCCUCUGCUCCCCAGGGCCAAAGGGGCAGCCUGAAGGCCUUACACUUUCCUCUUUGCCCUCCGACCAUACGUGGAGUGGAGUUCCCUGAUGGGCCACACCAAUUCUAGCACAGGUUUUUGGUACUAUUCCCAUGGGCAAGAACAAUCAAAGGAAAAAAAACUAACCAAGUUUGGGUUUUCUCUGUCUGUCUGCUGGAAUUAAGCAUCACACAUAGAUCACGUAAAAGGAAUCAGCUUUUAGUGGGAGGGUAUGGCCUCAUUUCCCAACCUCUUUACUUUGAGUUUCGGAACAAAGCCAUCUGAUAUUGGAAGCACCAGCAAGAGCCCAUGAGUGGAUGUCAGGAAAUUCACAGCAGUGUUCUUUGCUGCUUAACGAGCAGUGCUGCUGCUUGUAAAGAUGUGAGGUAAAAUGCUGGCCCCACUGAAUCUCUGGCAAACCUCCUGCAGCCUUCAGUGGGGCCAGGAUUUUACCCUGAGUCUUGCAAGCCAUUUGUUGUAUGAGGUUUUAAUGGGUCCACUCCUGCACAGACAGACUACUCUCGUAGGAAAGGGUUAGCUAGAUUGGCUCAGAUACUACACAAUUUAAAACUUAUAGGAAAGCUAUUUUGUAGUGAAAUUAAGGGACUAUAAAAGGAAUUUGGCUUUAGACAACUUGCUUCUGUUUGGAUUUGGAUUACAUUGCAAUCUCCUUGUCUGUUUUUAGCGUACAUGUCCCUGCCAGCAUCAAUAAUCUAUUUUCCUUAGUGCAAGUGAAAUACUCUAAUAGCUCAGAGGUGUAGUCUGGUGUUCAGUGCUGCUCUGGAUUUCUUCUUUGGUUUAGGAUUUGGGCUACAAAUAGUCAGAGACUGCAAGCUGCUCUAUAAUGUUUAUGCGCUGCCAACAGCCAAUUGAUUGAUAUGUGGGACGACACACUCUACUCCUCCUGUUACUCUACUUCCAGUCAUUUCUAUAUUUUUCCUGACCCCCUUGAUAUAACCCAACUCCCCAGGCUCUUUCUCUGCCCAUGUAGUCCCUCCCACCUCAGUCUCAGCAUUAAUUUACACUUGGCUUGAUUGUAUUUUUGUUGGCAAAAUUUUCAUCCUGUCCAGCAGCAUAUUAAUCCUCAAGCACUUCCUUGAACCUUUCAGGUUUGUACCUCUCCUUUCCCCACCUACUCCAAGGUAAAUAAAUCAGAAGUUUAGAUAAUGCAGAUCACAUUUAUCAUUCUACCUCAGGUCAAUGUCAUGUGCAAGUUAAGCUCAUCAGGGUUAGAGGCUGGAGGUGAAGACUACAGAGAAAGCCCAGAGGAGAAAUGUGCAGGGGUAGCCAUUGCUUCAGAUAAGCACAUAAAAGACCAAUGG